rnacentral:lncRNA from 1 species
GGAUGGUUAAAUUUCAAUAGCUGGGAUUAGUUGAAAUAAAACAUGUAUCUGACUGACUUUACGAUUCAUUUUCCUCUGAAAGUGUGCGUAACACAAAAUUGGUUCUUCAUUGGCUCUAGUACAAAUCUACAUCACACUUAUAGCUUGUCAGACAUUGUCAAGAUGUUUUUGUUAGCUCCCUUACUCCUUGCCUCUCUCCAUCACUCAACCAUUAAUAUAUCUUUGUAGUUUUUAGCAUAUGUAUGUUUAGAGAGACAUUCUAUGGAGAUAACUAGGAGGUAUGUUUAGUUGAUUCAAUGAUCUGCCAUAAGACAUUGCAGAAGACAGCCAAAUCGAUCCACAAACUCUUCAAAUGAUUGCUUUAGUUGGUUUUCGAAGAUGUAUGGGAUUCACAUAUCAUUGUUUAGGUUGUUUGCAAGAGAGCUCGUGAAACAAUUCAAGUAUUUGCAUUUCCAAGAUGGGCCCAGCAAGUGGCUGGCCACUAUUGGAAUGCUUAUCAUGUUUUAAAGGCAUUGUUUGAUUCAAACAUACACAUAUUCCAAGCUUCUUCAGCUCUUUAUCUUGCUUACGUGCAUCUUUCGUAGAUUCAGGGGCUUCCUAUAAGACAUUGCAAACAAGAUCUAAAUUGGUCUCAGCUCUACGGAUGGUAGUCUUGGUUUUCAGAGAUAUAUGGGGUCCAUGUAUGGAAUUUUAGGUUUGUCAAGGGGCUUGUGAAUUGACUUCAAUAGCAUAGACCAUUUUUUAGAAUGAACUAAGCAAGAGAGCUGACUGCUUUUUAAGACUUUAAGACAGUUUGAUGCUUUAAAGUCAUUGUUUGUUUGUCAACAAUUCACAUUCAAGUUUCUUCAACUCUAUCAAAAGUAAUGCACGUACUGAGUUCCCCGAUGGCAGAAUAUGCUCUAACAUGUUCAGUAUUAAAUAAUGGUCUACGGGGAAAUAUUUUCUUGUGAUAAUAGAGAUUUGGAAGGGCAUGAAGAGGAUAGUUGUUCAAUCAGAUCUUAUUUGGACGUGGGAGAGAGAGCAUAACAUGAUAAUCUGCAACUUUUUUAAGCAUCAACUCCAAAAAUGUUGACUAUGAUACUUGAAAUAAACAUUCCACCUUUUGUAUAUUUUACUAUUAGAGGCACUGAAGAUCGGUGGCCAAAGAUUGUUUUCUGCAGGCAGUGCACCACUUAAUUCGGUUACAAGAAUAUAAUGCCCUCAGUCUGAGUGUACCUCUGCUGCUGCCUCAUCUUUCACAUCCAUCCGUGCUGGUCUGCAAAUUUUUUAUGAUUAAAACUCCAUUUUGCUCAAGUCUAGAACAUUUUGUUGAAGCACCAUUGUACUGCGCAUGGUACACUUGCUCCCGUCACCUGCCACCUUGCCCUACUUUUGUUUCUUCCUUCUCUCUUCAAUUGUCCAUUCAUUCUCUUGCUGCUUAUUCAAGUUCCAAUUUUUCUUCUUCUGGCUUUGAGAAGAAAACAUGGGAGGUGGUGAGGCAGGCACAUCCUAUGAUUUUCUAUAAGAGAAUUGAGAAGAAAGCCCAGCAAAAUACUCUCCUCAGAUCUUCUUCCCCCCC